rnacentral:rRNA from 1 species
UACGUAGGCAGCAAGCGUUGUUCGGAAUUACUGGGCGUAAAGAGUGUGUAGGCGGUGCUCUAAGUCUGUUGUGAAAUCUCCCGGCUUAACUGGGAGGGUGCGGCGGAAACUGGAGUGCUCGAGGGUGGGAGAGGUAAGCGGAAUUCCUGGUGUAGCGGUGAAAUGCGUAGGUAUCAGGAGGAACACCUGUGGUGUAGACAGCUUACUGGACCACUUCUGACGCUGAGACACGAAAGCGUGGGUAGCAAACAGG